rnacentral:rRNA from 1 species
CCUGCUUUCAGUUGCUACCGGGUCACGCCGAGCACUCUGAAAGGACUGCCCAGGAUAACGGGGAGGAAGGUGGGGAUGACGUCAAGUCAGCAUGGCCUUUAUGCCUGGGGCCACACACGU